rnacentral:pre_miRNA from 1 species
AAAAAGACAAACCCUGGUUUCCGUGCCCAACAUUUGACCGUCCGUCUUAUUUAAAAAAAUUAUGAAAAAAAAUAAAAAGACAAGUCACGCAUAAAAUAUUAAUCAUGUUUUAUCAUCUAACAACAAUGAAAAUACGAAUUAUAAAAAAAUUUCAUAUAAGACGGACAGUCAAAGUUGAACAUGAAAACCCAGAGUUUAUCUUUUU